rnacentral:lncRNA from 1 species
CGCAAGGGUACAGCCAAUUUCCAAAUGCCAGAGAAGGUCACUUGGAUGAGGAGAAUGAGGAUUUUGCACUGGUUGUUUGGAAGAUACCAUGAAUCUAAGAAGACUGAUCACCACAUGUAUCACAGCCUGUACCUGAAGGUGCAGGGGAAUAUGUUCACAAACAAGCAGAUUCUCAUGGAACACAACCACAAGCUGAAGGCAGACAAGGCCCACAAGAAGUUCCUGGCUGACCAGGCUGAAGCCCGCAGCUCUAAGACCAAUAAAGCAAGCAAGCUCCGUGAAGAGCGCCUCCAGGCCAAAAAGAAGGAGAUCAUCAAGACUUUGUCCAAGGAAGAAGAGACAAGAAAA